rnacentral:rRNA from 1 species
UCAAGAACAUUUGGCAAUGGGCGAAAGCCUGACCACGCGACGCCGCGUGACUGAUGAAGUCUUUCGGGACGUAAAGGUCUUUUAUGAGGGAGGAAGUUAUUGACGUUACCUCAUGAAUAAGGGGCUCCUAACUCUGUGCCAGCAGGAGCGGUAAUACAGAGGCCCCAAGCAUUAUCCGGAAUCACUGGGCGUAAAGGGUGUGUAGGCGGCUCAUUUAGUCUUUCGUUAAAGCUCCGGACUUAAUCCGGGAAAUGCGGAGGAAACGGGUGAGCUCAGAGGACGCGAGAGGUAGAGGGAACUCAUGGUGUAGGGGUGAAAUCCGUUGAUAUCAUGGGGAACACCAAAUGCGAAGGCACUCUACUGGCGCGCUCCUGACGCUGAAACACGAAAGCGUGGGAAUCGAACGGGAUUAGAUACCCGGGUAGUCC